GCGGCUAUGGUCUAGCGGUAGGACUCAAGCUUCCCAAGCUUGCUGCCCGGGUUCGAAUCCCGGUAGCCGCA
rnacentral:tRNA from 1 species